rnacentral:lncRNA from 1 species
GCCGGAAGUUGGAUGGUACCGAAUUCUCGAAUUCCGUUGAUCCGGACUCGGUUAGUUCGGAUCAGUCGGGUUCGGUAACUGCUAGAGUUGCUUAUAGGCCCAACCGCCGAACCCACCGGCUCGUCAGCAACGAUGCCACCUUCAUCGUCUACUUAAGACGGAAGAUCUAAAAAACAAAAUAAAAACCUUAAGACGGAAGAGGAUUAUAUAGCUUGGCCCGGUGGCAACUUGUUCUUGCUUACCUAAAAAACUUCAAAUCCAACGAGCUUCUAUCAGAAAUCCACGGGAAAAUCACUAAGAAGUAGCAACAAUAACUUGCUGAAACUAAGCACCAGGAUGAAACCAUAUGAUGCAAAGAUACCUAGAAAUCACUAGACCCAUGUAGCCGCACGAGGAAGGCCUAAGCAAUCAUCUCUCUGGCUGUAUUCACGAACUAGCUGGAUUUUAAGUCAGGGCAUCUUAACUGAUGGAAUUUCUGAUAGAAACUUGUUUAGCCGGAGGAAACCGAAAGCUCUCGUUUAGCAGCCC